rnacentral:rRNA from 1 species
CGCUCUAUAACCCUUUGUGAACAUACCUACAACUGUUGCUUCGGCGGGUAGGCCGUCCCCUGAAAAGGACGCCUCCCGGCCCGGACCGGACCCCCCGUGGGGCCGGACUCGGCGCCCGCCGGAGGAUAACCAAACGCUAUUUUAACGACGUUUCUUCUGAGUGGCAUAAGCAAAAUAAUCAAAACUUUUAACAACGGAUCUCUUGGUUCUGGCAUCGAUGAAGAACGCAGCGAAAUGCGAUAAGUAAUGUGAAUUGCAGAAUUCAGUGAAUCAUCGAAUCUUUGAACGCACAUUGCGCCCGCCAGCAUUCUGGCGGGCAUGCCUGUUCGAGCGUCAUUUCAACCCUCAAGCUCUGCUUGGUGUUGGGGCUCUACGGUCGACGUAGGCCCUCAAAGGUAGUGGCGGACCCUCCCGGAGCCUCCUUUGCGUAGUAACAUUUGGUCUCGCACUGGGAUCCGGAGGGACUCUUGCCGUAAAACCCCCCAAUUUUUCAAGGUUGACCUCGGAUCAGGUAGGAAUACCCGCUGAACUUAAGCAUAUCAAUAGCCGGGAGGG